rnacentral:lncRNA from 1 species
GGCCUCUUUAAAAUUGUUUAUAUCUUCACAAUUGCCUUUGACAGUCGAGGUCAUUGUCUUAACUUGUUGACAAUAACCUAAUAACUGCGAUUUAAACAUUUUUUUCAAGUGAAAGUUCAAUAAGGCCCGCGUCUCGCUUGGGAGUCCGAGCAUCACCGCCCGUCCGCUCGCGCAGACCCAGAGGGCGCAGCCGAUCCUCGCGAGAUUUGGCCCCUGGCGGCUUCCGUGGCGUCGCGGCAACUUCCGCCCCUGACGCUCCGCCCUGGCGGCGCACUUCCGGCGGCGGCGGCGGCGGCGGCGGGAGCGGCGGGGCGAGAUGGGUCAAAGUCAGAGUGGUGGUCACGGUCCUGGAGGCGGCAAGAAGGAUGACAAGGUAACUAAGUGUGAAGCCAGAUGUCUGUGAUGUGAGUAAAUUGUGGGGAAUGUCAGCUCUCAGCCGAGAAGUUCUUCGGGAAUUCAAAUACCCUUUUCCUGUUUUAUAAAAGAUUAUUGACCAUCAAGUGGGUAUUAAUGAAUUAAUAAUUUUUAGAGGUGUAAAAGUAAUAACAUUCCAGAAGUGUUAAAUUGUCUGAGAUUUUAGCGUUUAAUGUCCUUACGUGUGAAAAGUUGUGUCAGAUUAUUUAACUCCAGCUUCUGGCAUGUAACUUUGAACUCUGACCUCUGUUCCUUAUUGAAUGAUCUAUUCAGUUUAGUCACUCAGUCGUGUCCGACUCUCUGC